rnacentral:rRNA from 1 species
UACGGGGGGGGCGAGCGUUGUUCGGAAUUACUGGGCGUAAAGGGCUCGUAGGUGGCCAACUAAGUCAGACGUGAAAUCCCUCGGCUUAACCGGGGAACUGCGUCUGAUACUGGAUGGCUUGAGUUUGGGAGAGGGACGCGGAAUUCCAGGUGUAGCGGUGAAAUGCGUAGAUAUCUGGAGGAACACCGGUGGCGAAGGCGGCGUCCUGGACCAACACUGACACUGAGGAGCGAAAGCCAGGGGAGCAAACGGG